UCCGGGGUCUCUGUCACUUGGGGGAAAAAAAGGGCAGAAAAGCUCUGCUGAAGUUUGAAACACAUUAGGAAAAUCUGCUAUCUGUAUCCCCACCCUCCCAAAAUAUAGUUGGCGUCCCCGCGUGAUGCAGAGUUUGUGGGGUGGAGGCUUAGAGGAGAUGUCACUGCGCCUGGGAGCUUGUGUCCGAUUCCGGGAGGUGGCCGUGUCUGAGUGCGUGGUUGUACAUUUCCGAAGGUCUCAGUUUCUCACUUUCAGCCCGCGAGUUCCUUCGCUUCUCCUUUAGCAGCAUUUUACCAUGAAAAUUUUCAGCCAGGCGCAGUGACUCACACCUGUAAUACCAGCACUUUGGGAGGCCGAGGUGGGCGAAUCAGCUGAGGUCAGGAGCUCGAGACCAGCCUGGCCAACGUGGUGAAACCUCGUCACUACUUAAAAUACAAAAAUCAGCCGGACUUGGUGGUAUACACCUGUAAUCCCAGCUACUCGGGAGGCUGAGGCAGGAGAAUCGCUUGAACCCGGGAGGCGGAAGUUGCUGUGAGCCGAAAUCGCGCCAUUGUACCCCAGCCUGGGGAACAAGAGUGAGACUCCGUCUUGUUAAAGAAAAAAAAAGAAAAAAAGAAAAUUUUCAAACAUGCAGAAAAGUCGAAACCAUUGUAGACUUAACACGUAUAUACCCGCCAUCUAGCUUCUGUAAUUCACAUUUUGUUAGAUUUGCUUUAUCAUUUACCUGUCUGUGUACCCAUUUAUCUGUCCAUCAGUCCAUUCUUGAGUUAUCUCUAAGCUUGUUUUUUUUUUUUUUUUUUAGUGCAGUGGCCUUAAUUUAUGCUUUUAAGUUCUUUUCCAUAGAAAAUAAAAAAAAUAAGUUUGAGUGACUUUGACAUCCUCAGUUGAGAAAAAUAGCAGCAAUUGGGUCCUUCUGCAUGGAAGGGACCACCUCAGACUUCAGUUUUAUAACAGUGGCCCCUGCAAUUGCUCGCUCAAUUGAUAACCUUCCCAUAACUUAGCAUCCACAUAGCUGAGCUUCACAUGGGGUCAAAUUUAAAAGUAUCUCUUUGCUAUGCUCCCAUUUAAUUAAAUUAGGAAAUAUGCCAAAAACUUGAAUCACUCCUGUUUUCAGCCGGUGGCCAGGCAGGAAUGCUCCCUGAAGAGUACUCUUCAACAAAGACUUCAGAAUGUGUUACCUGAAAAGUAAUCAUGAUGAAUCAGGACAUCACUGUGUUUUCCGUACGUCUGAAGUAGAGAUUGUCCACUAGACAACCUAGGGAAAGCAGAAUACCUGCUCAGCUGCUCUUUUUCUGGUGUGAUCAGAUCAGCUGGGUCCUCUGAAACAUGAAUCCAUAGUGCUUCCUUUGUUAUACUAUUUCUGACUUAGUUUUCUCUAAACGGCUGUAAAAUUUAACUGCCUAGCUGUAUUUUCUUUCUGUGGACUUUAUGCUCUCAUAUUUAGGAGAAAGAAUAAGGGAACACCAACUUCCAUCUCUGUAGCUCUGGAUGAUUAUUAAGGCCCUGGUCUGUAAUGCUUAAAGGUAAGCAUCUGUUGUCUAUGUUCAAUAAAAGAAGAAAAUGAACCCCA